rnacentral:lncRNA from 1 species
GUUUAGCCUGGGCUGCACGCAGUGAUGGUGCAAAAAGGACAAGUGCACGGCGACAGAGACGCAUAGAGCCCAUAUGUUCCCUGGCUUGUGUCGUAACUUCCCGGAGGCGUUGAGGUUGUUUGCCACUGUUGUGCCCCGGCCCUAUGGGGGCCAGCAUUGGACUGGAGGUGUCUGAUUGCCCCAGGGAUGCUCUGCCACGGCUGAGGGUUGGACGCUAAAAGGAAACCAUCCAAGGUCCUCGUCUCACUGAGCUCCACAGCUUGGAGGGAGAAUUCUCUUAGGGGAAGCGGACUCACUCCAAAGAGAUCAUGGCUUCGUCCCGACUAGCAAGAUCUAGAGACAUCGCCAAUGUCAUGCAACGGCUUCAAGAUGAGCAAGAGUCAGUGCAGAAGCGGACUUUCACAAAAUGGAUCAAUACUCAUCUGGCUAAGGUAACACAUGGCUUUGAAACUCUUUUUUUUUUUUUGAAACUUUUUUUUUUUUUUAAUCAAGCCUUUUAAUCUCUACCUAUGCAUCUGAGGAUU